GCCUGUUUAUCAAAAACAUUUUCUUUUUUUAAUAUAAAAGAUAAGUUCUGUUCACUGACUAUAUGUUAAAGAACCGCAGGAAACUGUGCUAAGGUAGCAAAAUAAAUUGUAUAUUAAUUGUAUUCCAGAAUGAAUGAAUUAACAAGAUUUUUACUUUCUUAAAAAUUAUAAUUUAAUUUUGAUUUUAAGUUAAAAUUCUUAAAUUAAGAUGUAAGACGAGAAGACCCUGUAGAUCUUUAAAUUUUAAAUCUAUUAUUUAGAUGGAAAAAUUUUGGUUGGGGAAACAAUUAAAGCGAAAAAUCUUUGAUUUUUUAAACCUUAAAUUAAAGGAAUAGUAAUCUUUAAUUAUUAAGAUUAAUAUAAAGUUACCUCAGGGAUAACAGCGUUAUUAAAUUUUUGAGAUCUUAUUAAAAAUUUAGAUUGCGACCUCGAUGUUGAAUUAAGAUGACAUUUAUACAGCAGAAAGAUAAAUAGUUAGUCUGUUCGACUAUAUAAAUCUU
rnacentral:rRNA from 1 species